UACGUAGGGUGCAAGCGUUAAUCGGAAUUACUGGGCGUAAAGCGUGCGCAGGCGGUUUUGUAAGACCGAUGUGAAAUCCCCGGGCUUAACCUGGGAACUGCAUUGGUGACUGCAAGGCUAGAGUGUGUCAGAGGGAGGUGGAAUUCCGCGUGUAGCAGUGAAAUGCGUAGAGAUGCGGAGGAACACCGAUGGCGAAGGCAGCCCUCCUGGGAUAACACUGACGCUCAUGCACGAAAGCGUGGGGAGCAAACAGG
rnacentral:rRNA from 1 species